CCUACGGGGUGCAGCAGUGAGGAAUAUUGGUCAAUGGACGAGAGUCUGAACCAGCCAAGUAGCGUGAAGGAUGACUGCCCUAUGGGUUGUAAACUUCUUUUAUAUGGGAAUAAACUGUUCCACGUGUGGGAUUUUGUAUGUACCAUAUGAAUAAGGAUCGGCUAACUCCGUGCCAGCAGCCGCGGUAAUACGGAGGAUCCGAGCGUUAUCCGGAUUUAUUGGGUUUAAAGGGAGCGUAGGUGGAUUGUUAAGUCAGUUGUGAAAGUUUGCGGCUCAACCGUAAAAUUGCAGUUGAAACUGGCAGUCUUGAGUACAGUAGAGGUGGGCGGAAUUCGUGGUGUAGCGGUGAAAUGCUUAGAUAUCACGAAGAACUCCGAUUGCGAAGGCAGUUCACUGGACUGCAACUGACACUGAGGCUCGAAAGUGUGGGUAUCAAACAGGAUUAGAUACCCCUGUAGUC
rnacentral:rRNA from 1 species